GCAUUAUAUUAGCCGCCAGCAAUAAUAAUAAUGAUAAUCAAGACUUAACACAUUCUCAUGUUGUUACAAUGUGAACAGAAGAAUUUGCUUUACAUGGUAGAUUAUUGAUCAACAAAGUCAAUUAAUCCUCUUUUAAUAAAAUUUCUUUUGUUCUUAACUAAUUUCACAAGCAAACGUGCCAUCCACGAUGCUGGGUCAGACACGGCUCGAGGAGUUGAAGAAUUCCGUUGGGGUUUCAGACGUUGAAAGAUCAAGCAAACCAACUCCACCAAUCAGUGAUUUUUGUCAUCUUAAAAUUCCCCAUUUAGGACCUAGAAGAUGAUUCGCAACUUUGCACAAGGCCCAUGUUUUAAGGUAUGCUCAAUUUCAUCUUGCACCAAGUCCAUAACUUUCCCAGAGACAAAAGAGAAAAAUUACAUUCUGUUUGGGAAGAAAUAAGUACAAUUUUUUGGAAUAAAAUUAAUUAAAAGUACCAAGUAUACAAAAAAAAAAUUGUUUAAGCUAUUGAAGAGAAAAAGCCAUUUUAGCAAUCAAAACCUUGUUAUAAAUCCCUACACGAGAAUCAAACACUUUGCUUUCUGUGUUGACCACAUCAUCUGAAGAACUGAUGAGAAAGUCGCAAAAGGUGAUGUUAUGAUCCAGAAACAUGUAAUAGGUGAACAUAACUAAUCGUUUAGUCGGUAUGAUCUCCCUCUGAAAGCUGUACCAGUAGUUCGUUCAGGUUGCACCCGAUUGUUUGUUGGGGCUGGAGCUCCUAUUCUCCAUCUUGCAACCAGUUUAUGUCUACAACAGUUAAGGAAAUUGAAGGAGCAAGAAAAUAAAAUAAAACAUAUUCUAGUCACUUAUCAAUCAACUGGGGAUUAAUCAAAGAAUUAAACAACUGGUUAAUGACAAUGCAAUGGGAAGAUUUCAUCACAGCCCAAGUUUUAAUGUUUGAAUGAUUGCUACUGCAAUGAUGCCAUCAUGUGAUGAGGAAGAAGACAGCAUGCUGUAGUAUGAUGGUUAUGUUUUUAUGCAGACGAAUGAGAAUGGCUAAUCAGAACUCCACAUCUAGACUCAAUACUUGAAUAACUUCCUAGUGCAACAGAGAAACUGAGCAGGAGAGCUUAUCAAGAGACUGGGACAUUGACAGAAGGCAUCUUUAAUGAUGACUGCAAAUUGAACACAUGAAAUUGCUAUUGCAAACAGAUAAAUAUACUUUUUCCAAGAGGGGAACCAAGUAAUUAAAGGAUACACCCAUCUUGGAGUUUUAAGCAAGGUCUUUCCAGUUGCAAGUGGAUGCAACACAGUCAAAAAGUAAUAUAGAUGCCCUGCAAUGAUUCCCAGCAGAUCCGGCAUAAGAGGGGAACCAAAAAUGACAUCUAAAGCAAGCAUAGCCCAUGGUAGAUAAAAUGCCUGAGAAAACAAGAGAACAUGAAAGGUGGAGAUGAGCAUAUGUGUUAGAUAAGAAAAUCCUAACCCCCAAUAUCUUAUAAUGCAGAAAAAAACACCCAACAAAAUUUGCAACUGAAUAUAUCUCAAGCAUACCUUAAGAGUCACAAGGCCAUAUAUGUUGAUCUGAGCAUUUGGGAAUUCUCUACUCCAGACAUAGACAAGCAUGAACACAAGUGAUAUCCCCAAGAAAGGAGACCAAAAUAUAGGAAUGGCAGAUAAUACCUACAAUCCAGAGGGGAGAAUAUGAUCAAUCAGUUGAAAAGAUGGUUUUCCACAUGUGCAAUCAACGAAAGGAGGUUUGAAAACCACAUCUUCAUAUGGAAGGAAUUAUCUAGGCUAAAGCUCAAAAUGCUCCACGAAUUUUCAAAAGAUGAAUUUGCACAAUGGCAGAAAAGCCAAAGCAGGAAAAAAGGGGGAAAGAACAGUAAGACUAGAUAACUUUAGUCUUCAGCUCACGAUAUUAGGCCCUCCCCAGUUUUAGUCUAUGGUACAAUCAAUCCAUCAGGCAUUUUCAAUUGAAAAAAUCAUUUCAACCAAUGGAAAAGAUAUCUGAAUUAAUAAAGAAGAAAACACAUACUAGCAUUGAAAAGGCUCCAAAUAGGAUCAUCCACAAGAAAUCUGCCGUACGCCUAUCAAAUGGUCCUUUCUCAAGUUGAACGCCAUACCUUGCUAUCAUUAAGAGGCGAAUUCCAAAAUUGAUAGAAAAUUUUCCAAGAAAAAAGAAGUUUGUAAUAAGCCUCCACACCUGAAAGCGUGAGAAUACAAGUUUAUAUAUCAAAGCGAUAUGCACCACAUCGAAUACACCAAGCUGAUAAGCUGCAGUGAAAAGAAGGCACAGAGUCCCAUAAGCCUUGCUUAUAGGUGGAAGAGACUGAUAGUAUUCGGCAGGGGAAGACAUUGAAGACAAGGUAAGCUAAAUUGAGAUGGAGAAAAUGGCUCCUUGGACUAAAAAUUUCGAAAAUGAUAGUUGUGAUUUGUGAAAAUUCUAAGCCGUUUUAAGUCGAAUAUUCUGAAAUCUAUGAAGAGAUUGGUACGAUCCAGAAGGUUCCUGGCUCUUCCUAGCUUUCGUGCUCGGUUGGUCUCUAUCGUUUCGCUCGAAUUUGGCCAGCAAUGGAGGCAUAACACAGUUGGACUCAGCCUCUGAUAUUA
rnacentral:misc_RNA from 1 species